UACUGACCCAGUGACAGUUUCCUCAAAAACGGUUGGAAAUUUGACAGGGGGGGGGGCAUUCACCUGACAGGUUGGAUCUCUGAAAAUAAAUUUCCACCAGUGUCUUUACCAUGAUCCCUCUGGACAGCGGACUGCAUACGUAUAGAUGUUCUCAUCUUCAUCAGGUACAGGAUGGCAGGGAUCAGUAAAAGUAGGAACAACCCUGAAAUCACUCCAGAUGCAAUGAUGGGAGCCAGGGAUGCUGGAAAAUUAGCAG